AAGUCGUAACAAGGUUUUCGUAGGUGAACCUGCGAAAGGAUCAUUAAUGUUUCUAAUAUAAAAAUAAAUAGUUUAUAUUAAUAUAAAUUAUUAUUAUUAUUAUAAAAUUAUUAUGAAUAGAGGUGUUGUCGGUUUAAUUUUAACUGUUGUUAAAACUAAAAUCGUACCUCUUUUAUUUUUGACUUUUAGUCAAAAAUAAAAAAACAAAAUACAAAUUAUUAAACCAAAGAUUACCCUGAACGGUAGAUCACUUGGCUCGUGG
rnacentral:misc_RNA from 1 species